UAAGUAUAAAUAAGGAAACUUAGGUUUGUGCUCAUUCGCACCCGAUCCCUUUCCCCUCUCCCGUGCGGCGCGGUCUCGCCCGAUUCGUCGCCGUCACCGGCUGCCACCAGGCGAUGGUCGCAUGAUCUGUCGCCAUCGUCAGCUGCCGCUAAGCUCCAUCACCGGCGUAGCAUGUCCUCCUCUCACCACCGCACAUCCCCUCUUCUCUUGUUCUGGCCUCUUCCGUGCCCUAGUUUCUCUACUGCCACCGCCGCCUCCCUCGUCGCCAUUGCCCGUUGUCGUCGCUCCGUUGGGGACACCUCCCGAUUCUGAGCCAUCGCCGUCAUGUCGCGGGAGCCCAGCGCUGUGACACCGGCGCUACCUCACUUUCACCGUCGCCCUGUCGUCGCCCCUCCCCUCCUCACUGGUCAGACGUGGCCACCUUACUAGCCCGUAGCCGCGGCUCCGCAGCUACCACGAUCGCCACCACCAUUGAGGUCGGCCACUGCCGGAGUAUUAAGGACUUUUGACACGAGACAGGCAUUUCGAUGUGGAGACAGUUCAGGACAAUCUUCAAUUGAAGGCGGUUGCAUAAUUGUGAGCAAAUGAUUCUGGAUCAUGAAGAGAAAAAUCCUGAUAAAUUUAAGGAAAAACACUGUUCAAUAUACACAAGCAUACUAUAAGGAAGCUUUGCUAGCUAAAGUAAUUCUGAAUACAAAUAUCAAAGAACUAGAUCUUACUGCUGCCCUAGCUUAACAACAAAUUGAAGAAAGAAGCAGCAGCAGCUAGAGGAGAAGAGUACGAGUAUCCAAAGCUGAGACGAAAAAGUGGAGAUGGAUGAGUAUGAUUUUAUGCUGGCGUAGAUCAUUAGAAGAAUGUGAAGCCCUUAUCAAAGAUAUCAGUUGCAGGAAAGCUCUUCGCCUUCCGGUGGAGCCUGGAAGAUACCUAGAUGGCGACUUAAGAACUCCAAGAAGAGCAAGGAGAGGAUGGUAGAACAUAACAAAUCUAUUGUUGGAAGAGGUACUGUCGGGUAUAUGUAGCCAUUGAACAAAGGAUGCGCCUCCCAGCACAGAGCAAGGCCACAGCCAAAAAUGUGAAGGAGAAAGAACCUGAGGAAGACUAGUCAUUCAUUUUCUGCAAACAGCCUAUUGUAAAUGGUACCAAUCUCCCGGUCAGACGAAGGCAUGUUUUUUUGAAUUUAAGAUAUUUAUGUUUAUUUUUCUGAAAAAUAAAUAUCAUGGCCUUACCUACCAGCCCGAACACAGGCUGAAUCAGGCCAAAUCA